UACGGAGGGUGCAAGCGUUAUCCGGAUUUACUGGGCGUAAAGCGCGCGCAGGCGGCUAUCCAAGUCAGUGGUGAAAGCCCGGAGCUCAACUCCGGAACUGCCAUUGAAACUGUUUAGCUUGAGGACGAGAGAGGUGAGUGGAAUUCCCAGUGUAGAGGUGAAAUUCGUAGAUAUUGGGAAGAACACCGAUGGCGAAGGCAGCCCCCUGGGCUAACACUGACGCUCAUGCACGAAAGCGCGGGGAGCAAACAGG
rnacentral:rRNA from 1 species